AACGUAGGAGACAAACGUUAUCCGGAGUUACUGGGCGUAAAGGGCGUGUAGGCGGUUAGUUAAGUCUGGCGUGAAAGCUCUCGGCUAAACCGGGAGAGGUCGUUGGAUACUGGCAAACUAGAGGACGGUAGAGGCGUGUGGAAUUCCGGGUGUAGUGGUGAAAUGCGUAGAGAUCCGGAGGAACACCAGUGGCGAAGGCGACUACCUGGCCCAUUCUUGACGCUGAGGCGCGAAAGCUAGGGGAGCGAACGGG
rnacentral:rRNA from 1 species